rnacentral:rRNA from 1 species
GAUGAACGCUGGCGGCGUGCCUAAUACAUGCAAGUCGAGCGAACAGACGAGGAGCUUGCUCCUCUGACGUUAGCGGCGGACGGGUGAGUAACACGUGGAUAACCUACCUAUAAGACUGGGAUAACUUCGGGAAGCCGGAGCUAAUACCGGAUAAUAUAUUGAACCGCAUGGUUCAAUAGUGAAAGACGGUUUUGCUGUCACUUAUAGAUGGAUCCGCGCCGCAUUAGCUAGUCGGUAAGGUAACGGCUUACCAAGGCGACGAUGCGUAGCCGACCUGAGAGGGUGAUCGGCCACACUGGAACUGAGACACGGUCCAGACUCCUACGGGAGGCAGCAGUAGGGAAUCUUCCGCAAUGGGCGAAAGCCUGACGGAGCAACGCCGCGUGAGUGAUGAAGGUCUUCGGAUCGUAAAACUCUGUUAUUAGGGAAGAACAAAUGUGUAAGUAACUAUGCACGUCUUGACGGUACCUAAUCAGAAAGCCACGGCUAACUACGUG